rnacentral:rRNA from 1 species
AUUGAACGCUGGCGGCAUGCUUUACACAUGCAAGUCGGACGGCAGCACAGAGAAGCUUGCUUCUUGGGUGGCGAGUGGCGAACGGGUGAGUAAUAUAUCGGAACGUACCGAGCAGUGGGGGAUCACUAAUCGAAAGAUUAGCUAAUACCGCAUAUUUUCUGAGGAAGAAAGCAGGGGACCAUUUGGCCUUGCGCUGUUUGAGCGGCCGAUAUCUGAUUAGCUAGUUGGUGGGGUAAAGGCCUACCAAGGCGACGAUCAGUAGCGGGUCUGAGAGGAUGAUCCGCCACACUGGGACUGAGACACGGCCCAGACUCCUACGUGAGGCAGCAGUGGGGAAUUUUGGACAAUGGGCGCAAGCCUGAUCCAGCCAUGCCGCGUGUCUGAAGAAGGCCUUCGGGUUGUAAAGGACUUUUGUCAGGGAAGAAAAGGAUAGGGUUAAUAUCUCCCUGUGCU